AUUGAACGCUAGCGGGAUGCCUUACACAUGCAAGUCGAACGGAGUGGCGAACGGGUGAGUAAUGUAUCGGACCGUGCCCAGUAGCGGGGGAUAACUACGCGAACGCGUAGCUAAUACCGCAUACUCUUGGAGCGGCCGAUAUCGGAUUAGCUUGUGGGUGGGGUAACGGCUCACCAGGGCGACGAGCCGUAGCUGGUUUGUGAGGACGACCAGCCACACUGGGACUGAGACACGGCCCCGACGCCUACGGGAGGCAGCAGUGGGGAAUGUUGUACAAUGGGGGAAACCCUGAUCCAGCCAUCCCGCGUGUGCGAUGAAGGCCUUCGGGUUGUAAAGCACUUUUGGCAGGAAAGCGGUACCUGCAGAAUAAGCACCGGCUAACUACGUGCCAGCAGCCGCGGUAAUUG
rnacentral:rRNA from 1 species